AGCAGCAAGCUGUGUGGUUGGCUGGAUCAUGUGUCCCAGGACAUAUCAGGAAAGUAUCGCCCUUGCUGAUGCUGACCCCACUGACAUCUGGGUCAGUCUUUGAUGUGGCAUUCACUUCACACACAGACGCCCCUAUAUAUUGGCCCCACCCAGAAGCUCUAUGACUCUUCGCAUUCGUCUUCGUCUGUCUAAUAAGUUGAAACCAUUACCACAAUCCCCAGAAACACUACCCCAGAACGAGGGAGCAAAGAACUAUACAAGAAUCUAUGUGAUAACGCUUCUAGCUGGUGCUCAGAAGACCAGCUGGCUCUGUUCACGAAGCAGGAAGUACCUGGAUAUGAGCCAACUGUUGUGGGUUGCAUCUUGAACCAGAGUAAACGACAAGCUUGAAAAUGCGCAGAAAAAAAACGAAUAUAACAAGAAAGCUGGUUUGAGACCACGCCCACCCUGGUUAACCAGUUAGUCGAGAGGCCUGGCCCGAGGUCUGGACCGAGGUCUGGACCGAGGUCUGGACCGAGGUCUGACCCGAGGUCUGGCCCGAGGUCUGGCCCGAGGUCUGGCCCGAGGUCUGACCCGAGGUCUGGCCCGAGGUCUGGCCCGAGGCCUGGCCCGGGGCCUGGCCCUGGCCUUAUG